AUGCGCCUCCAGAGCGGGUCCCGGCCGGAGAAGGCGCGCAGCCGCCGGCAGACCUGGCCCAGCCGGCCCAGGGCCUGCGCGUCCAGAAACAAGAAUUGGGAAGGAAAACGCCAACAUCCCAAAGUCUCAAGUCAAAUCCUCUCCAUCUGAUACAUUCUGUCAGCUGCAAGCAAACUGAUUCACUGUCUAUCUUUCUCCAGGAUGUGUGGACUACCCUGUGCAUGUAAUCCUCAAUGAGAGUCACCCGGGUGCACAGAUAAGAGAUCCCAAGGAAGGCAGCUUGGGUAGGAAGUGAGUUGCCACAUCACAUUUUCUUCACAACCUCUCCCAGCACUCAGAGAAGAUUCUGCCACCCUGAAAGACCACACUAGCCUAUGAUCAACUGACUUACGAGGAAAGAUGGAAAGACCCAAACAUGGACGCUGGCAAGUGCUGAUUCUGGUGGGGAGAGAGCAGGUAUAACUGUCAAUGUGCAUUUCAGAUGUGUAGGCCCCAAGGAAGGAGCAGAAUUGAUGAGGGUGUAGAUAACUAGAAAUGAUCAGAUGAAACUGAGCAAAGGAAAAUGUAGGCUAAAUAUUAGGGAACAGUUAGUGACAAUCGCACAAUCUACUAGAGAAGAGCUGCAAGAUCUAAUGCUUGAGUAGACCAGACAAAGCCCAGGAGAAGAUACUUCAGGGACUAAUCAUGUACUGACCAGGGACUUUCUAUGUCUAGUUUCAGUGAUUUUUAUCAUGCUGCAACGUCUUCCUGACCUUUAAUCCAUGCAUAUGGAGAUUGUUGUUGCACCGAUGGUUUCUCAAUCAAGAGACCACGGUGAAGAGUAAAUUAAAAGC